GCCAGUGUGAUGCAGUGGUUUGAGGGCAGGACUAGGACUCUGGAAAUCAGGGGUUUGAUUCCCUUCUCAGCCA